rnacentral:rRNA from 1 species
AUUGAACGCUGGCGGCAGGCCUAACACAUGCAAGUCGAGCGGUAGAGAGAAGCUUGCUUCUCUUGAGAGCGGCGGACGGGUGAGUAAUGCCUAGGAAUCUGCCUAGUGGUGGGGGAUAACGUUCGGAAACGGACGCUAAUACCGCAUACGUCCUACGGGAGAAAGCGGGGGACCUUCGGGCCUCGCGCCAUUAGAUGAGCCUAGGUCGGAUUAGCUAGUUGGUGAGGUAAUGGCUCACCAAGGCUACGAUCCGUAACUGGUCUGAGAGGAUGAUCAGUCACACUGGAACUGAGACACGGUCCAGACUCCUACGGGAGGCAGCAGUGGGGAAUAUUGGACAAUGGGCGAAAGCCUGAUCCAGCCAUGCCGCGUGUGUGAAGAAGGUCUUCGGAUUGUAAAGCACUUUAAGUUGGGAGGAAGGGUAGUAACUUAAUACGUUGCUACUUUGACGUACCGACAG